rnacentral:rRNA from 1 species
UAAGGAAUAUUGGUCAAUGGACGCAAGUCUGAACCAGCCAUGCCGCGUGAAGGAUGAAGGUCCUCUGGAUUGUAAACUUCUUUUAUCUGGGACGAAAACGGGAUUUUUAUCUCAAUUGACGGUACCAGAGGAAUAAGCACCGGCUAACUCCGUGCCAGCAGCCGCGGUAAUACGGAGGGUGCGAGCGUUAUCCGGAUUUACUGGGUUUAAAGGGUGCGUAGGUGGGCUUAUAAGUCAGUGGUGAAAUCUCCGAGCUUAACUUGGAAACUGCCGUUGAUACUAUAGGUCUUGAAUUAUCUGGAGGUAAGCGGAAUAUGUCAUGUAGCGGUGAAAUGCUUAGAUAUGACAUAGAACACCGAUUGCGAAGGCAGCUUGCUAAGCUGUAACGGACGCUGAGGCACGAAAGCGUG